rnacentral:rRNA from 1 species
CCUACGGGUGGCAGCAGUGAGGAAUAUUGGUCAAUGGGAGAGAUCCUGAACCAGCCAAGCCGCGUGAGGGAAGACGGCCCUAUGGGUUGUAAACCUCUUUUGUCGGAGAACAAAACCCGGGACGUGUCCCGGACUGCGUGUAUCCGAAGAAAAAGCAUCGGCUAACUCCGUGCCAGCAGCCGCGGUAAUACGGAGGAUGCGAGCGUUAUCCGGAUUUAUUGGGUUUAAAGGGUGCGUAGGCGGUCCGUUAAGUCAGCGGGAAAAUUGCGGGGCUCAACCCCGUCGAGCCGUUGAUACUGGCAGACUUGAGAUUGCGAGAGGUACGCGGAAUGCGCGGUGUAGCGGUGAAAUGCAUAGAGAUCGCGCAGAACUCCGAUUGCGAAGGCAGCGUACCGGCGCCAGACUGACGCUGAGGCACGAAAGCGUGGGGAUCGAACAGGAUUAGAUACCCCAGUAGUC